rnacentral:rRNA from 1 species
AUAAUGGAGAGUUUGAUCCUGGCUCAGGACGAACGCUGGCGGCGUGCCUAAUACAUGCAAGUCGAGCGGAACCAUUGGAGCUUGCUCCUUUGGUUUAGCGGCGGACGGGUGAGUAACACGUGGGCAACCUGCCCUGCAGAUCGGGAUAACUCCGGGAAACCGGUGCUAAUACCGAAUAGUUUAUGGCCUCUCAUGAGGCUGUACGGAAAGACGGUUUCGGCUGUCACUGCAGGAUGGGCCCGCGGCGCAUUAGCUAGUUGGUGAGGUAACGGCUCACCAAGGCCACGAUGCGUAGCCGACCUGAGAGGGUGAUCGGCCACACUGGGACUGAGACACGGCCCAGACUCCUACGGGAGGCAGCAGUAGGGA